AGUGUGUCUGCCUCCUUGUCUCACUGUGUCAGGUCUUUUAGAAUGCUGAGAUGUGCACAUACUUGCAUAUCUUGUCUUAAUUUGAUUCCCAGGUGAUUUAUUUGUCCUAUUAAUUAGUUUUAGAAUAGAAAGUUAGCAUAUCUUGCCUUAAUUUAAUUGCCAGGUGAUUUAUUUGUCCUGUUAAUUAGUUUUAGAAUAGAAAGUUAGCAUAUCUUGCCUUAAUUUAAUUGCCAGGUGAUUUAUUUGUCCUGUUAAUUAGUUUUAGAAUAGAAAGUUAGCAUAUCUUGCCUUAAUUUAAUUCCCAGGUGAUUUAUUUGUCCUGUUAAUUAGUUUUAGAAUAGAAAGUUAGCAUAUCUUGUCUUAAUUUAAUUCCCAGGUGAUUUAUUUGUCCUGUUAAUUAGUUUUAGGAUAGAAAGUUAGCAUAUCUUGCCUUAAUUUAAUUCCCAGGUGAUUUAUUUGUCCUUUUAAUAAGAUUUAGGAUAGAGAGUUAGGAUAUCUUGUGUUAAUUUAAUUCCCAGGUGAUUUAUUUGUCCUUUUAAUAAGAUUUAGGAUAGAGAGUUAGGAUAUCUUGUGUUAAUUUAAUUCCCAGGUGAUUUAUUUGUCCUGUUAAUUAGUUUUAGGAUAGAGAGUUAGCAUAUCUUGUGUUAAUUUAAUUCCCAGGUGAUUUAUUUGUCCUGUUAAUUAGUUUUAGAAUAGAAAGUUAGCAUAUCUUGUCUUAAUUUAAUUCCCAGGUGAUUUAUUUGUCCUGUUAAUUAGUUUUAGGAUAGAGAGUUAGGAUAUCUUGUGUUAAUUUAAUUCCCACAUGAUUUAUUUGUCCUUUUGAUUAGUUUUAGAAUA